UACGUAGGGUACAAGCGUUAAUCGGAAUUACUGGGCGUAAAGCGUGCGCAGGCGGUUUUGUAAGUCUGAUGUGAAAUCCCCGGGCUCAACCUGGGAAUUGCAUUGGAGACUGCAAGGCUAGAAUCUGGCAGAGGGGGGUAGAAUUCCACGUGUAGCAGUGAAAUGCGUAGAGAUGUGGAGGAACACCGAUGGCGAAGGCAGCCCCCUGGGUCAAGAUUGACGCUCAUGCACGAAAGCGUGGGGAGCAAACAGG
rnacentral:rRNA from 1 species